GAUGAACGCUGGCGGCGUGCCUAAUACAUGCAAGUCGAGCGAACAGAUGAGGAGCUUGCUCCUCUGACGUUAGCGGCGGACGGGUGAGUAACACGUGGAUAACCUACCUAUAAGACUGGGAUAACUUCGGGAAACCGGAGCUAAUACCGGAUAAUAUAUUGAACCGCAUGGUUCAAUAGUGAAAGACGGUUUUGCUGUCACUUAUAGAUGGAUCCGCGCCGCAUUAGCUAGUUGGUAAGGUAACGGCUUACCAAGGCAACGAUGCGUAGCCGACCUGAGAGGGUGAUCGGCCACACUGGAACUGAGACACGGUCCAGACUCCGACGGGAGGCAGCAGUAGGGAAUCUUCCGCAAUGGGCGAAAGCCUGACGGAGCAACGCCGCGUGAGUGAUGAAGGUCUUCGGAUCGUAAAACUCUGUUAUUAGGGAAGAACAAAUGUGUAAGUAACUAUGCACGUCUGGACGGUACCUAAUCAGAAAGCCACGGCUAACUACGU
rnacentral:rRNA from 1 species